rnacentral:rRNA from 1 species
AGGUCAGCGGCCAAGCGAAAGCAUUAAGCAUCCCACCUGGGGAGUACGCCGGCAACGGUGAAACUCAAAGGAAUUGACGGGGGCCCGCACAAGCGGAGGAACAUGUGGUUUAAUUCGAUGAUACGCGAGGAACCUUACCCGGGCUUGAAUUGCAGAGGAAGGAUUUGGAGACAAUGACGCCCUUCGGGGCCUCUGUGAAGGUGCUGCAUGGUUGUCGUCAGCUCGUGCCGUGAGGUGUCGGCUUAAGUGCCAUAACGAGCGCAACCCCUCUCCUUAGUUGCCAUCAGGUUAAGCUGGGCACUCUGGGGACACUGCCACCGUAAGGUGUGAGGAAGGUGGGGAUGACGUCAAAUCAGCACGGCCCUUACGUCCGGGGCUACACACGUGUUACAAUGGCAGGUACAGAGAGACGGUCCCUUGCAAAACGGAUCAAAUCCUUAAAGCCUGUCUCAGUUCGGACUGGGGUCUGCAACCCGACCCCACGAAGCUGGAUUCGCUAGUAAUCGCGCAUCAGCCAUGGCGCGGUGAAUACGUUCCCGGGCCUUGUACACACCGCCCGUCAAGCCAUGAAAGCCGGGGGCGCCUAAAGUCCGUGACCGUAAGGAGCGGCCUAGGGCGAAACUGGUAAUUGGGGCUAAGUCGUAACAAGGUAGCCGUACCGGAAGGUGCGGCUGGAACACCUCCUUUCU